rnacentral:tRNA from 1 species
GUCGCCGUAGCUCAGGGGUCAGAGCGCUCCGCCCAUAACGGAGAUGUCGGUGGUUCGAAACCACCCGGCGAUA